rnacentral:misc_RNA from 1 species
GGAAGUAAAGUCGUAACAAGGUCUCCGUAGGUGAACCUGCGGAGGGAUCAUUCAGGAAGCAGGCGCCCAGGCGCCCUUCUCUCCCUUAAACCAUGUGGUCCUAUGCCAUGCCUCGGGGGGGUCAAGCGGCCUAGGCCGUGGGGUCCUUUGAGGCCCGCCCCCCCGCGUCUGUCGUGCCUCGGGCGAGUCCGCUCGUCCGGGAGCCGGCAUGCUUCAGUCUUGGAGUGAUGAUUGUGUCUGAUCAGUCCAGUGGACAGAAUUAUUAAAACUUUCAACAACGGAUCUCUUGGCUCUC